UACGGGGGGGGCAAGCGUUGUUCGGAAUUACUGGGCGUAAAGGGCGCGUAGGCGGCUUGAUAAGGUUGCGGUGAAAGCCCGGGGCUCAACCCCGGGUCGGCCGUGGCAACUGUCGAGCUGGAGCACUGUAGAGGCAGGUGGAAUUCCGGGUGUAGCGGUGGAAUGCGUAGAGAUCCGGAAGAACACCGGUGGCGAAGGCGGCCUGCUGGGCAGUGGCUGACGCUGAGGCGCGAAAGUGUGGGGAGCGAACAGG
rnacentral:rRNA from 1 species